rnacentral:misc_RNA from 1 species
CAAGAACUUAUUUUAAUCCCUUUAAAACCCAACUUGUUUACAUCGCUACACGAGGGUAGGAGGAGAGGGAGAGAUGCGAGAGAUUAAGAUUUGGUUCCCAGUUUAACCAACAUAAUUUUACAAACACGAACAAAAAGAAAAGCAAUGUGCCCAAAAUAAGGCAUGACAAGAACAAGCACAUCUGAUUUACGAAACUACAAGGUCCACUACACAAAUUGAUUACAUAUCUCAAACCCUGAAAUAUCAGCACGUGUCCAAAGGGGAAAACUAUGACAAAUGACAUAAUCACAUUUCAAAAGCAAACUAGAACAAAUAAUGCUGCAACAAUGUCAGAGCUCUGAAAGAAUUGCAGGGAUGUAAUGGGAUAAUUCCGCUGUAAGAGACUGAAAUCCAUUCACAAGUUGAGUGUGGAAAUCUUGGUCUUCCUCACCAAUCAAUCUAAAAUGCACACGUAUGGCACGUUUACAAACAGCCAUGAAUUCUAGGAGUGCAGCUAUGAGUUGUUGCAGCUCUUGUGAACGUAACCUUGUAGCAGGCUCGCCAGAUAAGAAGGCUGUGCAGACACUCAAAACUCCGCUAUUGACUUGAACUGCAACACUGCCCUGAAGAAUUCUCUGCAAACUCUGGAGGCGAGGGAGUUGAUCCCCUUCAGAACUACGAGGCUCCUCAAGCUCGUUUCUCAAGGCAGCUGUCCGAGUUUCAAUCAUCCCAAUUGCAUUCUCUACUGGGGAGAACUCAAUAGAUUCAGAUUUGAUUACCAAAAGCCUAUUCACAAGGGCAGGGAAAGAACCUUCAGUCUCAAGAACAGUCCGCCUCUUCCAUUGGUCUUCCAAGCCACCUUGGGUCUUACCAUUUUUUGUAAAUGGGGUGUCAAACAAGAACCGGUCAAAGACUCGUGCACGGACGCUUCCAGUGGAAAGAGAGAAAAUUCUUUCCCUUCGACUUCCUAAAUCUUCAUCUUCCAUCACUGGAUCAACAGCAGUUAUCUGCAAGUAGCAGACUCCAGGCUGCAAUUCAUCUGCCUUAACCUGUCUAGAAUCAGGGAUAAUAUGCAAAGUGUGAUUCCCAUCCAUCCUAGAUUCAUAUAUAUGACUUAAUUUCUCCAUUAUGUCACCUAGACGUACAUCUCGGGGUUCUCGGUAUACAUAUUCUUUCUUGUCCAGCUUCCCAAAUCUUUCACCAUAAAAUCCCACCCUAUAGUAUGUGGCAUCAGUGAAUGGAAUUGGGCUUGAUUCCUGCUCAAGAAUUGAUUCAUAGAUAUUAGUGAGCAAUGUAUGACAUUUAGCCAACUGCCCAUAUGCCCUCCUGCUUUUAUAAACUGGAAUUACAAGUUCCAGAAUGCUUGCACAGAAAUGAAAGAGCUCAGCUUGAGAGAAAAGCUUAUUUGCAAGCUGUAGAUAUUUUACAGCAGAGUCAACAGUCAGCUUAGAUGCACCAUAUCCCUCCACCUCUGCUGCAGAUGCCUCAGACGAGAUCUCACUGCUGACCAUUGGGCAAAUUUUACGUAGAGCAGUUACAUGAUCUUUGCUCCAGACACCGUCAUUUCUAGCCACAAGGGCCUGCAUUACAACACCGGCAACAGCCACAGCACACUGUGCAGCUUCUGCCCAGGACUGCAUUUCCUGAUGAGCAUCACAUAAAUGCAACAACCACAUUAUGUGAAGGUCAGGAACAGGUGCAAAUGCCAUAGCAAGUUUAUAGUAGCUCUCUGCAGCCGCAUAUCUAUCGAUAGUCAUCACAGAAGCCAGAAGUGCAUGUUCCAGGCUAGCAUCAAGGGCCAGGAUUAGAUUGUCAGAGAGAUAUUUCACCUCCGACCAGGACCAUCGAUUUUCUGCUGACCUUUCCAAACUUGCCACCAAUGCAUUUUCAGGUAGUCCACAUUCCCUUAAUAAGUUGGUGCUCUUAUAUUCAUCUGCCAUUUCCUCCAAAGACCUGCGAAGGCGUCUUGCUUCACCACUCUCUUCCAGUGUUCCAUCAGAUUUCAUCUGAGUCACUUGCACAUCAGACAUCAGCUCUGACAACGUGAUAGUCAGCAUGACCCGCAAUCUUGCUGUUUGCAUAAAAUAAUAGAAAGAGCUCCUCACUAGUAUCUGGAGCCCAAUAACAGCUCUUUUCCUGAUGCUUUCAUUUCUGAAAACAGCAAGCCGUAGAAGAUGGAAAGCAACCUGCUUUAGAAAGCGAUCAUUUUCCCUUGCCAUUAGUGUUGCCCCAUGAUGAUCAAAUACACUGUAGAAGACAGGAAAAAGAGCUUUCCAGAAAGCCAGUGGCUGAUUUCGAGAAAAGAAACUCAUAAACAUGGCUGUAAUGCAGUCAAGUUUUCCAUAAUCAGUAGCAAUGCUAUGGGAUGCUGCCAUCAUGGAAAAUUUUUCAGUUAUCUCCAGCACCUGAAGACUCACAGCUGCACUCAGGUUUUCUUCCCAAAGCUCCAGCUUUUGUCUCAAUAUAGGAUGCAAAGAUUCUCUAAGUGCUUGGGCUGAAGCUCCAAUUCUUGAAGAUUGUGCCUGAGCAAGAGCUUCUCUCAAGGAAUAUGGCUGGCUAGGGGAGCUUAACUGGGAAUUCACUCUCUGCCACAAAUAUCCAUUAUCAGGUGUUCCCUGAGUCCUAACUUCUUGCCGUGAUGCCUCAGACAGAUAGUUGUUUAUUGCAGGAGAAAGCCUAUCAGAGUACUUGGGGGAAGAAGGUCCAUCUGUGACUGGGCUGCGAGAACUAGAGCCCAUGAGCAUGCCAUCUGCAGGUUUUCUGUGCUCAAAAAGAACAAGGCAUUCCUCCAUAAGUUUGAAGAACAAUCUAGUUCGUGCAAUGCUUUGCUGCCAUGCCUUGACAAGUGAUGUCUCAUCCAGAUUGCGCACAAUUUGCAGAAUAACAAUUAAAACUUCGCGCUUUUCAACGGCAUUCAGAUUAUAGAAGACAGGCAUCUCAUCUAGGAUCUGGCCAAUAAGAGGAAAAUAUAGCUGUGCAAUAUAUAAUUUAUCUUCAGGCUUUUGGUAACGAGCAUCAAACUCAUGCUUGCAUAAGAUAACUACUAACAUUCUUGCUGCCUUUGAUCGCUGAGAUAGAUCAUCAUGAUCCCAAGUAAGGAAAAGCUCUUGUAUUAAAACAGAUGAAAGGUAGUUUCUAUCUGAAGGGUCUCUCCCAGGCAUUUCCACAAAAAGAUCAUGAUCACACACAAUUUGAAGAAAGGUUAGCUUACAUUCGUGGAGAACCGAUUGACAUACCCCAGAAAACUUGUCUAAGUACAAGGACACCAAUUCAAAAACUUGCCGAGGUUCAAUGAUAGACAAAAGAUCAUAACAAAAGAAGGCCAAACUACUAUUCAAGCGUUUUGCCAAACUUGAACCCUUCUUACAACGCUCAUGCACUUCUGUUAGAAGGCAAUCAUACAAUUGCAUUAUGCAUCUGAAAACACCUUCUUUUAAUUGCAUUGGUGGAACAUCUUCACCUAGCGGAAGACUAUGAUAGAAAAGGCGAGUUUGCUCCAAUGCCAUUGACUUCACAAUUAGCUCAAGAAAAAACCAAGCCAUUGCCAAAACAUCAUCAUAUACUGGCCCAACUCGGUAGCCUUUGGCCUUACUACGAGCCAAGCUUCCCCACACAGUGGACAAACCAGGAUAAACUGGAGGUUGACGACCUCCAAAGUCGUCAAAAGCAUAAUCAACGUAGUUAACAAGAAAACGAUUUCGUUCAGCAUCAUCAACUGAUUCCUGCUGCACCCUAGUUAAGAUAUUGACCAUAGCUCUGAAGGCUGCAACCUGUAGAGUUUCUCCACCACUGCCUAUAAGAUGGAGAAGCAUGUUUAAAAUUGGGUGAAGAAACUGAAGCAAGGCAGUGGAAUCAACAUUCUUCAAACUGUUAAUGGCCUCCAGGAGUUCUGAACCCCAAGGCGGACUUGUUCGAAGAGUGUGCCUAUCAUAUUCAAGGAAAAAAUCUCUAAUGCGCUCAUUUAUAGGGUACAAUGAUGAACAAAGUUUCAUGCGCAAUCUAAAGACAUUCUUCCCAUCUUCCAAAUAAUCCAGCCUCUCCUUGCCAAUAUCCUGGAGAUAAUGUGGAACCAGCUCUCUCAUGAUUGGUAAGGAAAUUUCAGAUCUCAACUGAGCAUGUGUAGAUAAUGGAAGCGCUGCAUAUCCGAUUACCACGGGCUUUGGAGCUUCCAACUUUGUUUGAAGAUCAAUAUGGAAGAAAGUGAACAAGAGAUGAUGCAACGGUGUCCAGAUGGCAGAAAGGGAAAGUUUAAUCUCAUCAUGGAAGCAAGCCACUCUAGCCCCAACAGCAACCUGUGUGUGAGCCCACUUUUGGAGUGAUGCUCCUGGUUCCCUAGGAUACAUUGCCUCCAAAGGCUGUCUACGAACGUCUGCAUCAUCCUUCCUUAGUUCCACUCGCAUGAACAAAUUCCUCUUCCGACUCAAAGUAACAUUUAAAGGAUAAACAUACAAGCAAUGAAAAAGCUGCAAGAAAGGCUCAUUUCGCAUUGUUGUACGGAAGUCAAAUGCUUGGAAAUCAUCAGCAUUCAUCUCAGGGUUUCCAUGGCCACUAGAACUAUUUCCAGAAAUUUCUUUCCCAUCAUAGAUAUUCCACUUGGAGCUGCUAGUUUGAGGAUGGUCAGAGCCAUUGCUAGGGCAUUUUGUAAGAGUGGAAUCAGCAAUUCGGUCUCCUGGAUCAACGGACUCAUUGGUCAUGCUACCACUUUCGGAUAGGUUUUCCAAGUCAGAAUGGCCUGUCUGGUGCUUCUCAAUUUCUAGUCUGAGAACACCUCUGACUGGUUUGUGAACCUUGCGUUUAGGAUCCUGAAGAGAGUCCUCAGUAUAACUUUCUUUAACUUUAUUUAAGUUUGAUAUUUCAACAACAACCGAGCUUCCACUUGAAUAACCCAAUUUCCCAUCCAGUGUGAUGUUUGCUACGGGCUCAAACACACCAUCAUGGGAACUUGAUCCAGAUACACUUGGGGCAAGUGGGCUGCUUGGGGAAGCAGGCCCUCCAGAAGUUCCACCAACACUGUUAUCAAAUAAUGGAACAAUCGCCCAGGCAAAUGACUGUCUAUAAGGCAUAAUUCGAGACCACACCUGCAAUUUCUGCUUCUCUCUCUCACUCAAGUGGACAGGUUCUUUACGUGAAUAAACCGAAGGAGUAACCCCGCCUUCUUCUGUAGCAGGCUUCUCUAGCUGGAUCAGCAGACAAAUUGAUGCAGAUGGAGCAUCUAGAUAGAAAAUUCCAUGAGGUUCAUAUGAAAUUUUUGCAUCUUGUGUGUCUGUUGGCAGCACAGAAAAAUAAAAAUCCUCCGAUAACUUUUCUCUUCUCUCCUUAUUAUAUAUGCAAAUGGUACCAUAAAAUGGCUCAACUAGUCCUGCUUGAAAAGAAAGGGAAAGAACUUUUACAGAGAUCUUCAAUCCCCUGCCAUAUGGCGCCAUUGGAGUUUCUUGAAUCCUUUGGCCAAAUAUCAUCGACCUCUCAUUUUCCCAGUCAAAAGCUGGUUCAUAAGCAGGGAGAGGGGAAUGACCAAAAUGCUUUGAAACAUGUGAAAGUGACAAGUCAGAAGUGGCCUCUGUAAAUUGCCUUCCAGAGGUGCUCGGAAUGUCAUCAUCAGCUGUAUCUUCAGCUUUAGUUCGUCUUGAAUUCGCAAGCUGCAUUUCUGUCUCAAUAUCGGUAUCAGGCCCUUCAAAAAUCUGGUUUUGAAAAGAUACUGGAGCGAUGCUUUCAUAGUGACCAUACUUAUUUUCAUCCUUUACCCAAUCAGUUCUAUAGCAUUGAACAAGUUCAUUAAGAUGAGGCCACUGAUCCAGAUUUUCAUCAAGCAACGGGUCCAACUUGAGACGAGCAAGAGAUUGGCGAGAUAUUCUAUGAAAACGCUGCCCCCCAUUGUUACCAGUGUUAUUAUCCAUCUCGAGGAUGAAUGUGAAUAGCGCUUAAUCAAAGCAGCGAGCUUGGAAAGUGUAGGAGUCAAGAGCGACGUCGGUAGCGGUGUGGAAAACGUUGGAAAAGCAGCGGUGGAGCUGAUAGGCUAAGGAUGAGAAGGUGGGUAGCAUUGGUCAUGAAUACAAGUAGAAUGUCAUCAAUCUGGUAGAUCUUAAAACUGAAAAAUGGAAGUGGGAAUUGAAAUCCAGAGAGAAAAUAAGUAGAAGAGGAAGACAACCCUAAGAAAGAGA